CGUAGGUGAACCUGCGGAAGGAUCAUUAACAAAUCCUGGCCGUUGCUUUGUGCGAUGGCAAAACACCGUGCACUGGCAGCCGGAGAGGGGAGGCCCAACUCGGUUCAUCAAAGGUGUGCCGCCGGCAUUCGGUUGGGUGCAGCACUUAAAUCAGUGGGAAUCAGCUCUAGCACCGCCCGCUGGGCCUUGAACCGAUCUCCCGUCUUUGACUUUUUACUUGACCGUUUGUGAAACUUUGUGGUGUUUUGAUAUUUUUGUUGGCAAGAAAAAUUUGACAACUUCUGACGGUGGAUCUCUUGGCUCGUGCAUCGAUGAAGAACGCAGCAAGCUGCGAUACGUAGUGUGAAUUGCAGAAUUCAGUGAAUCAUCGAGUCUUUGAACGCAAAUGGCGCCCCCGGGGUCUCCUCGGGAGCAGGUCUGUCCGAGCGUCCGCCAACCAAAAAAACGUUGUCGUUUUCGGACGACAAGAGUGAAGAGCUGCAACGCCGACCCCUCACGGGGGGUGGGCUGCACUCCUUGAAGAGACGUGCCCGUGGACCGCGAGACGCGGCGGUCCGAUGAGACGUCGUCGCGACAUCGUGAAAAGUUGCGUCGUGGCAUCUCGUCGGAACGCGGUGAGGUCCGUGCGGCGAAACAUCAG
rnacentral:misc_RNA from 1 species